CAUGCCCCUCUCCCGGGAUGAAGCUCCGACCCAGGAUGGACAUAGGCUAGAAUCUUCCCGAUAUGUCCUGCUCUCAACAUUGCUUACAGGAACUUCUUAUUAAAAUGGGUAGAGGUUAAUGGGACUGUCGAACUGCUGAAAAUAAGGACGUAUGAGUACUGUCUCAGAUCGGACAUCUAUGUCCACCCUCUUUCCCAAGGCUGUCUUAUAACAGUAGUUUACUGUUCUUUUUUUUUUAAUAAACUUUCUUCUUAUGUUCUGUAUUCAUUCCAAUAAAUUACAUUAUAUCUCAA